rnacentral:misc_RNA from 1 species
GAGAGAUCAGAAUAUAAUUGGAUUGUAACUUUCGGAGAAAUUAUUUGCAUUAUCCAUCUUUGUUUUGGAUGCUAAGUUAAAUUUGUCUAGUUAUCGCUUAUAUUUCUCAAAUGGGAUUGUCAAUAUCAGCAAAAAAACUCCAUCUCAUUGAACUAGACUUUUACGGGUUGGCCUGGGUCAAGGAAGCGGUAGGUAGUCCGUACUUGGUUGGGUUCAUCCGUCUAUGAUUUAAUUCUGGGACUGAACUAGACGGAUAGUGAGAUCUGAAUCCAGUAUCAGGAAUACAGGUUUCUUUAUUCAUCAAUUAUCCUGCACAACAGAAACAUUAGGUGAGACGCAGAGGGACCACCGGAUCAGUGAAUGAUUUUGACACUUCCCUACCGGUCUUAUAACUAUCAAACCUGGCGCCCUCCCUGUGCAGUCCCACAUCCAUCAAACGACAUCGUUUACAGCCGCAAGUCUUUGUACAUCUCUCCUAUGAUAUCCUCUGAAAAGACCUUUUUCAGGUAAGUUCAGAAAUGGCCGCGAAGGUUGGAUCGUUUGGGCAUAGUUUUGCAGAAUGGAGCAAGGAAAGACUGCUUUUAAGAAAAGGGUACUCGGACUUUGGCCUAAACAGCUCAGAUGGCGGUGAAGAAGAGGAAGCCAAAUGCUGCUGCUGUCAAUCACUUUCUGGUUGGAUCAUCAAUUUCUGGAAUGGGUUACAAGACGGUGCUGUCGAGUUAUAUAAGAUGGGUCGUACAGAUCCUCGAAAAGCUAUUUUCGCUAUCAAGAUGGGACUGUCGCUUGCACUUGUUUCUUUAGUCAUUUUCUUCAAAGAACCUCUCAACAAUGCUAAUCAAUACUCGAUCUGGGCAAUUCUCACAGUGGUCGUGGUUUUUGAGUUCAGUGUAGGAGCAACACUUAACAAAGGAUUCAAUCGUGCUUUGGGGACACUUUUUGCUGGUGGGCUCGCCCUUGGCAUUGCUGAGCUGUCUCUGUUGGCAGGAGAUUUUGAAGAAGUUUUUAUCAUCAUUAGUAUUUUCAUUGCAGGUUGGUGUUAAUGUCAACAGCAUCAUUCUAUAUUGGAAAAGAUAUUUCAGUAAUAGCAAAAAAAAAAAUUUCGGAUCAAUAUCAGACCUUUGUUUUUCCAAUUACUGAUUUGUUUUUUGUGGUGUUCAGGAUUUUCUGCAAGUUACAUAAAGUUGUACCCCACUAUGAAAUCUUAUGAAUACGGAUUUCGGGUUUUCCUGUUGACAUACUGUAUAGUUAUGGUGUCUGGGACCUCAUCAACAUUUGUCGAAACAGCUUUUUAUAGAUUGUUGCUUAUUGCAGUUGGUGCUGGGAUAGGCUUACUUGUGAAUAUUUGUGUAUUCCCAAUAUGGGCAGGGGAGGAUCUGCAUAAAUUAGUGGUGAAAAAUUUCAAGGGUGUUGCUGCUUCUUUAGAAGGUUGGGUUCAAGCCUCAAUAUAAUGUUGCUAUAUGUUGCAGUAAUUUUAAUGGAUUUUAUUAGAUUAGGAUGGCAUAUGUUAAGCUAAUUCAUUCUUCCAAAAUUUAUUUAGGUUGCGUCAAUGGAUACCUGCAAUGCGUUGAAUAUGAGAGAGUCCCUUCAAAAAUUCUAACAUACCAAGCUUCUGAUGAUCCUCUGUAUAGUGGCUAUAGAUCAGCUGUACAAUCUAGCAGCCAAGAGGAAUCUCUGGUUGUUAAUAGCAGAAAUUAUGAUGCCUGCUCCCUUAAGGGACCACAAAAGUGGAGGAAAUGCUGAUUUUUAACUUUUUCUUGUUUAUGCAGUUGGACUUUGCAAUAUGGGAGCCCCCUCAUGGUCCUUAUAGAUCAUUCAAAUAUCCUUGGGAAAACUAUGUAAAAGUAAGUGGAGCACUAAGGCAUUGUGCAUUUAUGGUCAUGGCACUUCAUGGAUGUAUUCUCUCAGAAAUACAGGCCCCGGCAGAAAGGAGACAAGUCUUUCAGACUGAGCUCCAGAGAGUUGGAGCAGAAGCUGCCAAUGUUUUGCGUCAGCUUGGAAGCAAAAUAGACAAAAUGGAAAAAUUAGGCCAUGGAGACAUACUAAAAGAGGUGCAUGAAGCAGCAGAGCAAUUACAAAGAAAGAUAGAUGAAAAGUCAUACAUUCUAAUCAAAUCUGAUAGUUGGGAAAUCACAAGACAGGCUAUGGAAAAUCUUCUGGAUGUAAAGGAGAAUGAAAACAUGCAAUUGGGAUUUAAGUCCUUGAGUGAAACUGUGCUUGACUUGGGGUCACUUUCUGUUUGGACACCGUCCUCACCUAAAAGAGACUCUUCAGGAAACUUGUUCAGGAAACAAGAACCAUGGCCUUCACGUCUUUCUUUUGAUGCUGGUGCAGGCAUUAGAGAAAAAUGCAGAACCUACGAAAGUGCUAGUGCCUUAUCCUUGGCAACAUUUGCUUCUCUCUUAAUUGAAUGUGUUGCAAGGCUCCAAAGUCUUGUUGAGGCAUUCGAAGAACUAAGCGAGAAAGCAGAUUUUGUGGAGCCUAUGGUUACAGACACUGCAAUUGCAAAAAAGAAGCCUGGAUUUUGUGGGAGUCUGUUUAGAUGCUUCAGAUUCUCAACAUGAGAUGUGGAUUUUACUUGUUUCAGUCCAUUAAUCAGUAGAAAUGUCUGUCUAAACUGCUUACUUCGCUUAAAUUGAAAGGUUGAACACAGCUUUAUUUGAAGGUUAUUAAUUUUGAAAUCUUCAGCUUCGCUUGAUAAGACUAUUAGUGAGGCUGCCACCAUUGUAUGAGGUUGAGGCUAGUGUGCCAGCAUUAUGGGCGCAAUGAGCCUGCCAAGUGCUAAGGCCCUUUUUGGGGGAAAAUAUGAUAAAUUUUUUUUCUUAGACUAAAA